CAGCCGCCGCGGUAAUACGAAGGGGGCUAGCGUUGCUCGGAAUGACUGGGCGUAAAGGGCGCGUAGGCGGCGAUCAAAGUCAGGCGUGAAAUUCCUGGGCUCAACCUGGGGGCUGCGCUUGAUACUUGGUUGCUUGAGUGGGGAAGAGGGUCGUGGAAUUCCCAGUGUAGAGGUGAAAUUCGUAGAUAUUGGGAAGAACACCGGUGGCGAAGGCGGCGACCUGGUCCUUGACUGACGCUGAGGCGCGAAAGCGUGGGGAGCAAACAGGAUUAGAUACCCCAGUAGUCCCUGUCUCUUAUAA
rnacentral:rRNA from 1 species